AAGAGUAUUAGAGAUUGGGUUUUUACUCGAUUAUUGUCCAAGUCUUUGGCCAUGUCUAGAUCGUUGUCUGGCAGUGGCAGUUUCUUCUCUGAGGGACCUGUGGAUGAAGAUUCUAAUGCCCGAGCUCACACGGAUUGUUCAGAGGUUCCACCACUACUUCCAGAUACAUCAUACUGCUCUGAUGACACACGGGAGAAUGAGCCUCAUCCCUCUCUUCAGGAAGAUUCUAACAGAUCUAAUA
rnacentral:misc_RNA from 1 species